AGGGAAUCUUCCACAAUGGACGCAAGUCUGAUGGAGCAACGCCGCGUGAGUGAAGAAGGUUUUCGGACCGUAAAGCUCUGUUGUUGGUGAAGAAGGAUAGAGGUAGUAACUGGCCUUUAUUUGACGGUAAUCAACCAGAAAGUCACGGCUAACUACGUGCCAGCAGCCGCGGUAAUACGUAGGUGGCAAGCGUUGUCCGGAUUUAUUGGGCGUAAAAGCGAGCGCAGGCGGAAGAAUAAGUCUGAUGUGAAAGCCCUCGGCUUAACCGAGGAAUUGCAUCGGAAACUGUUCUUCUUGAGUGCAGAAGAGGAGAGUAGAACUCCAUGUGUAGCGGUGGAAUGCGUAGAUAUAUGGAAGAAUACCAGUGGCGAAGGCGGCUCUCUGGUCUGCAACUGACGCUGAGGCUCGAAAGCAUGGGUAGCGAACAGGAUUAGAUACCCUGGUAGUCCAUGCCGUAAACGAUGAGUGCUAAGUGUUGGGAGGCUUCCGCCUCUCAGUGCUGCAGCUAACGCAUUAAGCACUCCGCCUGGGGGAGUACGACCGCAAGGUUGAAAC
rnacentral:rRNA from 1 species